rnacentral:rRNA from 1 species
GACGAACGCUGGCGGCGUGCCUAAUACAUGCAAGUUGAGCGCUGAAGGUUGGUACUUGUACCAACUGGAUGAGCAGCGAACGGGUGAGUAACGCGUGGGGAAUCUGCCUUUGAGCGGGGGACAACAUUUGGAAACGAAUGCUAAUACCGCAUAAAAACUUUAAACACAAGUUUUAAGUUUGAAAGAUGCAAUUGCAUCACUCAAAGAUGAUCCCGCGUUGUAUUAGCUAGUUGGUGAGGUAAAGGCUCACCAAGGCGAUGAUACAUAGCCGACCUGAGAGGGUGAUCGGCCACAUUGGGACUGAGACACGGCCCAAACUCCUACGGGAGGCAGCAGGAGGGAAUCUUCGGCAAUGGACGAAAGUCUGACCGAGCAACGCCGCGUGAGUGAAGAAGGUUUUCGGAUCGUAAAACUCGGUUGGUAGAGAAGAACGUUGGUGAGAGUGGAAAGCUCAUCAAGUGACGGUAACUACCCAGAAAGGGACGGCUAACUACGUG